AUACGUAGGUGACAAGCGUUAUCCGGAUUUACUGGGCGUAAAGGGCGUGUAGGCGGUCUUGCAAGUCAGAAGUGAAAUUCCUGAGCUCAACUCGGGCGCUGCUUCUGAAACUGCAGGACUUGAGUGCUGGAGGGGAUAGCGGAAUUCCUAGUGGAGCGGUAAAAUGCGCAGAUAUUAGGAAGAACACCGGUGGCGAAGGCGGCUAUCUGGACAGUAACUGACGCGGAGGCGCGAAAGCGUGGGGAGCAAACAGGAUGAGAUACCCGGGUAGUCCACGCCGUAAACGAUGAAUACUAGGUGUAGGGGGUAUCGACUCCCUCUGUGCCGCAGUUAACACAAUAAGUAUUCCGCCUGGGGAGUACGGCCGCAAGGUUGAAACUCAAAUGAAUUGACGGGG
rnacentral:rRNA from 1 species